rnacentral:piRNA from 1 species
AAAAAAAACAGAAAGAGGUGAGCCCU